AGAGUUUGAUCAUGGCUCAGAACGAACGCUAGCGGCGUGGAUAAGACAUGCAAGUCGAACGGGACCAAGUUUGUAGUAAUACAGACUUGGUUCAGUGGCGCACGGGUGCGUAACACGUGAGCAAUCUGCCGGGAAGUGGGGGAUAGCUCGCCGAAAGGCGAAUUAAUACCGCAUGUGGCCAUCCUUCGAGUGGAGGAAAAGCCAAAGCAGCAAUGCGCUUCCUGAUGAGCUCGCGGCCUAUCAGCUCGAUGGCGGGGUAAUGGCCCACCAUGGCUUUGACGGGUAGCUGGUCUGAGAGGACGACCAGCCACACUGGAACUGAGACACGGUCCAGACACCUACGGGUGGCAGCAGUCGAGAAUUUUUCACAAUGGGGGAAACCCUGAUGGAGCGACGCCGCGUGGAGGAUGAAGGCCUUCGGGUUGUAAACUCCUGUCAUGCGGGAACAAGCAAGUGAUAGUACCGCAGAGGAAGAGACGGCUAACUCUGUGCCAGCAGCCGCGGUA
rnacentral:rRNA from 1 species